UACGUAGGUCCCGAGCGUUGUCCGGAUUUAUUGGGCGUAAAGGGAGCGUAGGCGGUGCAGCAAGUCAGAAGUGAAAGCCCGGGGCUCAACUCCGGGACUGCUUUUGAAACUGUUGAACUAGAUUGCAGGAGAGGUAAGUGGAAUUCCUAGUGUAGCGGUGAAAUGCGUAGAUAUUAGGAGGAACACCAGUGGCGAAGGCGGCUUACUGGACUGUAAAUGACGCUGAGGCUCGAAAGCGUGGGGAGCAAACAGG
rnacentral:rRNA from 1 species